rnacentral:lncRNA from 1 species
GUUUAAACUCAGGGAGCAUCAUCUAAAGUUUGUUUAAUAAACACAUGUGGAAAUGCAUAAAGUUCUUAUUACAUGUGUAGAUUUUAUUCUUUUCAACUCUUGUUACAGCCAUGAAAUCACAAGUUCAAGAAGUCUGUGGAAGAUUCUUGUGAAAAUAUCAGUAUUGGAUAAAAUAUCAAGACUGCAGAGCCCAGAGACUGAAACUCUGAGCUGGUUCAGCUAUCUCAUUUCCGUCUUUCCUGCAUACCUACCAUGA